CGCCUCCUGGUAACGAACGCGUCGCGUCGAGUGACACCGUACGCUCGGGCAUAUUACAAUAGCGGAAUCGAAAGACGUAGACACACACGCGUUUUUAACAAUGCGAAAUUGAACGACGUGACGAACCACCGGACAGUUUACGUUGCCGGUUACGUGAAAUGAAUUAUCGCGUAUGGCCCGUCCGCCUUACGGGACGCGUGCGACUGUAAUAAUACCGCGGGGCGCAGCAGGUAGUACGCGAGGGGU